rnacentral:lncRNA from 1 species
CGUCUGUCGGUGCUGAGGCUGGAUCGGGUGCCCUGGUCCAGACCUGCGGUUGCACUCACCCAUCCCGGGCACAGGGACAAGCAGGAGGAUGGAUUUUCUCCUCACACAUUCAAGUUUCGCAUCCAAUUCAUCCCCACAGGUGCAUGUCCUCGUGUCACUGUGGAUUGUCCCUGUCCGUGGCCGCAGGGAGGGGCCUACAUGUCACUGAUGUCACCUCAGGCUCCAUCUACAGCUUCUUACAUUUUAUUUUGUCCAGGUAGCAGCAGCCUGUUCUCUGGUAUCAACAUGCCAGAAUUUUUGCAUCAGGUUUUGGAACAACUGAAGAAAAGGUCCAUGUGGUCACAGCUGCUGCCAAAACACGAAACAGAAUUUGUGGGUGUCUGUCACCUGUCGAAUGAAGGAGCUGGAACAGCCUGUCCACAGCCAACCUGACGAGCACGCGAGAUCUCCGCUACACCCCGAGCCUUUGGUUGGAGAUGCGCAUUCGGGUGUCUCUUCCCACGCGCAGAACAUGGCUCACCCCUUGGAGAAAACCAUUACUGCGGCACGCUGUGUUCUGCAAGUGAUGAUAUAUUCACCAGGAACACAAGAGUUCACGCUGUGGAAACGGGCUUCAACAUCAACAUGCCCCUGAGCCGCCCCGUGGGCAUGACAUGUCAGUUCAUCCCUUUCUGCUGGGUGUUUUUUCUAGUUGCAUCCUGCCAUCCUCUGCUUAAAUUGCUCUCUCAGUGUCUUGGAAACGCUUCUGGUAAUGCUGUAGUUCAGCGAAACGUUGCCUUGUCUCCUGCCGCUGCAGCAAGGGGAGGCAGCGCUGACACAAAGAAGUUGCCUCUUCAGCCCACCUCACCCACUUUGGAGAGUUUUCCUGUUAACGUACAGCGGGGGUGUUUGUAAAGAUGCGGCGCUACACACAGCGCACUGUUCUCCCCUUCUUUUAAACAGGAUUUAUUGAUGUCCUUCAGGCUGGGGUGGGGGGAGAAGGGAGGGCUGGCUGGAUAUUUCUCUUGCAGUUAAAUUCUCUGUGUUGGCUCUUAAAAGCGUUAAGUAAUGAGGGGAAAAAACAAAGCUUAAAGCUUAAAAGCCUAAAAUCAUCUGGGACAAUCACUUCCAUUCCAACGCCAUUAAACAGUUAAGGGUCGUUUUGCCGGAGUGAAAAUGUUGAACUAUUUUGACUGUACAAUUCAUGCUUUUUAAAUUAAACUAAGGAAUUCAGCUUACUUGCCGAAGGGAGGGGAAUCUUCCAGCACUCUACCAGCCUAUUAUAUAUUGUGUAUCAUUUGGGUGUGUGAAUUAAAAUAACCCCACACACCAGUACCUGCUGUGGCUGAGCAGCUGCAAAGCAGUUUUGCAGAGGACCUGGGGGUCCCGGUAGCCACCAACCAUGGGCCAGGAACGUGUCCUUGAAGCAAAGGCUGCGUGAGGUGGCACCAAAACAUCCAGCGA